AUUUAUACUCUUUUUAAAGGGAAAAAGAUUCAUACCUCCUAGGAUUCACAUUCCUGUAUACACCCUCGGCAUAAAAAAUAAGUAAAAAAUACCUCUUUAUCACUGUUUUAUUAAAUUACAACAAUGAUUUGACCUAUUAAAUAUGAGUUUCUAUGACUACAAGAUAUAUAAAAAUAAAAAUAAACUCUAUAUUAUAAAAGAGUUAUGAUCUUACGAGCCCCUCACUCAUACGGGCUGCAUAGCGCUUCACUUUUGUGCAGUUAGAUGUACAUCCCUAUCUCGAGGAAAGAAUGAGCUUCCAACUCACAAGUAAAAAGUG
rnacentral:lncRNA from 1 species